rnacentral:rRNA from 1 species
CCUACGGGUGGCAGCAGUGAGGAAUCUUGGUCAAUGGCCGAGAGGCUGAACCAGCCAAGUCGCGUGAGGGAAGAAUGUCCUCUGGAUUGUAAACCUCUUUUGUCAGGGAGCAAAGUCACCCACGUGUGGGUGCUGGAGAGUACCUGAAGAAAACGCAUCGGCUAACUCCGUGCCAGCAGCCGCGGUAAUACGGAGGAUGCGAGCGUUAUCCGGAUUUAUUGGGUUUAAGGGUGCGUAGGCGGGUUAUCAAGUCAGCGGUAAAUUCGUGGAGCUUAACUCCAUCCAGCCGUUGAAACUGAUGGUCUUGAGUGGGCGAGAGGUAUGCGGAAUGCGUGGUGUAGCGGUGAAAUGCAUAGAUAUCACGCAGAACACCAAUGGCGAAGGCAGCAUACCGGCGCCCGACUGACGCUGAAGCACGAAAGCGUGGGUAGCGAACAGGAUUAGAUACCCGAGUAGUC